rnacentral:rRNA from 1 species
UACGCAGGGGGCAAGCGUUGUCCGGAUUUAUUGGGCGUAAAGAGCGUGUAGGCGGCCAAGCAGGUCAGCUGUGAAAACUCGAGGCUCAACCUCGAGACGUCGGUUGAAACCGCUUGGCUAGAGUCCGGAAGAGGAGAGUGGAAUUCCCGGUGUAGCGGUGAAAUGCGCAGAUAUCGGGAAGAACACCCGUGGCGAAGGCGGCUCUCUGGGACGGUACUGACGCUGAGACGCGAAAGCGUGGGGAGCGAACAGG